rnacentral:rRNA from 1 species
AUUGAACGCUGGCGGCAGGCCUAACACAUGCAAGUCGAACGAGUGGUGGACGGGUGAGUAAUGUCUGGGAAACUGCCUGAUGGAGGGGGAUAACUACGGGAAACGGUAGCUAAUACCGCAUACCAUCGGAUGUGCCCAGAUGGGAUUAGCUAGUAGGUGGGGUAAAGGCUCACCUAGGCGACGAUCCCUAGCUGGUCUGAGAGGAUGACCAGCCACACUGGUACUGGGACACGGUCCAGACUCCUACGGGAGGCAGCAGUGGGGAAUAUUGCGCAAUGGGCGCAAGCCUGAUGCAGCCAUGCCGCGUGUAUGAAGAAGGCCUUCGGGUUGUAAAGUGCUUUCAGCGGGGAGGCGUUACCCACAGAAGAAGCACCGGCUAACUCCGUGCCAGCAGCCGCGGUAAUUC